UACCAGCACCCCGAGUGGUCGGGACGUUUAUUGGGCCUAAAGCAUCCGUAGCCGGUUCUGCAAGUCUUCCGUUAAAUCCACCUGCUUAACAGAUGGGCCGCGGAAGAUACUAUAGAGCUAGGAGGCGGGAGCGGCAAGCGGUACUCGAUGGGUAGGGGUAAAAUCCGUUGAUCCAUUGAAGACCACCAGUGGCGAAGGCGGCUUGCCAGAACGCGCUCGACGGUGAGGGAUGAAAGCUGGGGGAGCAAACCGG
rnacentral:rRNA from 1 species